rnacentral:rRNA from 1 species
UACCAGCUCUCCGAGUGGUGUGGAUGUUUAUUGGGCCUAAAGCAUCCGUAGCUGGCUGGACAAGUCCCCUGUUAAAUCCACCGAUUUAAUCGUUGGUGUGCGGGGGAUACUGUUCGGCUAGGGGACGGGAGAGGCAGACGGUAUUUUCGGGGUAUGGGUGAAAUCCUAUAAUCCCCGGAAGACCACCAGUGGCGAAGGCUGUCUGCUAGAACGCGCCCGACGGUGAGGGAUGAAAGCUGGGGGAGCGAACCGGAUUAGAUACCCGGGUAGUCCCAGCUGUAAACGAUGCAGGCUAGGUGUUUGGACGGCCACGUGCCGUUCUAGUGCCGCAGGGAAGCCGUUAAGCCUACCGCCUGGGGAGUACGGCCGCAAGGCUGAAACUUAAAGGAAUUGGCGGGGGAGCACCACAAGGGGUGAAGCUUGCGGUUU